rnacentral:rRNA from 1 species
UACGGGGGGAGCAAGCGUUGUUCGGAUUUACUGGGCGUAAAGGGCGCGUAGGCGGCCAGCACAAGUCAGUUGUGAAAUCUCCGAGCUUAACUCGGAAAGGUCAACUGAUACUGUGCGGCUAGAGUGCAGAAGGGGCAACUGGAAUUCUUGGAUGUAGCGGUGAAAUGCGUAGAUAUCAAGAGGGAACACCUGGCGGCGAAGGCGGGUUGCUGGGCUGACACUGACGCUGGAGGCGCGGAAAGCUACGGGGAGCGAACGGG